rnacentral:lncRNA from 1 species
GGGUUCGUGGCAUCCGCGCCGCGGCCGCAAGUAUAGCAGGUUUCGUACCUGGUGUUCAUCGCCGUUAAGUCAUCGCUGCUGCCACCCAGGCACGGCUCUCUAUGCCGCCGCUCCCUCCACCCUCUAGGCACUGCCUGCCGUAAGAAUUUUAACUGCGACACUCGCUUCAGCAGGAGAUUUUAUUGGCUGCAGACACACGCAGCAUCUUCUUGCGCUCCUCCUUGAGGUGGAUGGGCAGCUAGCUGGAGAUGACACAGGAUGAUGCGCAUCUUUCGCACGCUGGCUCCAAGAUCUCCGCUGCCAGAUGCAGCAACAAAGCUUCUUUGUACAGACAGCCCUGGACACACUUCCAGCAGCAAUUCUUCUUGCAGGAACUGGUGCAAGAACAGGAUUUAUUCGUGGCACAGGAGCAGUUGGUGUCCACUGGGAGUGGAGGCAGAAGAGAGACCAGAGCGGGUAUGUUAGGAGAGAAAGCAGUGACUUCAACAGAAGUGGAGUAAAUAAAGAUGAUCACAGAACUUGGAAGCUGACGAAAUUAAUUUUGGAAAAGAGCUGGCUUGGAGCAUGACAGAAGAAUUCGAUGGAAAGAGUGCUGGGAGCCCAACUCAAGACUGAUGUGUGCUUGGCAGGCAGUCUACCCCCGAUCUCAGUCCUCCAGCCUUUCGGCCUUUUUUCCUUUUUGGAGACAGAAUUGCAUCAUAUGGCAUCCUACACAGUCCUGCCUCAGUCUCUGCAGUGCUGGGAUUGUAGGCCUAUGCCACCUAGCCUUUCUACAAUACAAACAAAUAUGAAAAGAAGAGGGACUUCUUUGGAAAGGAGUACAGGGACUAUGGAAGAGAUGAAAAGAUAAUAUUGUCAGAAAUUAUGCCGCUUUUGAAGAGAUAAACUGAACUCUUGAUUCUGUGAGGUUAUUAAAGAAUAUUAAUUUUCAAAUCACGGUAAAAUCUUGAUUCAGCAACACAUGAGGAUAAUCAUUGUGUCCAUGGAAACCUUGGGAAGCAGUUGAAAGCCUGGUCCCUCUUGCCUGGAGCAUUAACACAACGUGGCUGCAAAGUUAGUCCUUUCCCGCUACCAUCUCCUGAAUACUGGGACUAACUACACGUAUGCACGAACCUGCCCAUCUUUGCCUCUGUUAACAGCUGCCACUGUCUCUUCACGACAUGAUGGCUGACCUAGGUGAGUGGAAAAAUCAUAGGUGUAGGGUAUCUUUUCGUUGCCCCUCUUUUGGCUAGACUCCAAACGGCUUUUUUUUUCUUGGGUGCUACACGGGGUUUUGGACCUACUAAACAAUUCCUCUACCAAUGAACUGUAUCUCUGGCUCUAGGGAAGAUAUUUUUGAAAAAGGGUUUAGCGUUUGCCAGAUCCUAUGCGUGAGUGACCUCAAAAGAGAAGAGGAGGGUACUUCUCAAUGACAAAGCAGUAAGUAGAGAAAUACAGGCCUCACUUUUUGUUUUAGAAGUGCCGUUUCUAAGCACAAGUCAGUUGACACGACAGAUAUCCUCAAAUGGUUUGGGGAGAUCAUGUCCUUCUCAACCUGAUCAACCUGAGGGCCAGAAGAGCUAAAAUGGCUCCUAAGGAACGGAAGCUGGGCACCAGAAGCUCCUGGUCUGCUUUGCUUUGGUUUGGUUCUGUGUUGAGGAUGUACCUAGUGCUCAUCUUGGUGCUCUGCCAUCGAGUUAUACCACCAGCUCCCAAGCUCCUGCUUGAUAUAGAAGGUUUUAUUGAAACAUAGUCAUUUUCAUUUAUUACUGUCUGUGGUCUUUUGUGCUACUGCCUAGCUGAGUGAUUGUACCAGCUAUGUGGCCUGUAGAGCCUGGAGUAUUACCAUUUGGCCUUUUGAGGAAGUUUGGCCAUUGCCAGUGUAAGUUAACUCCUCUCCCCAUUUUAUUUCUAUGGUACUUGCCUUUACAACGGAUCCUACAAAUUGAAAUCAGUUUCUUCCUGCAUUGCUUCCCAGGAAAAUUAAGAUCAAGAAUGUAUAUUGGAGAGCCGGGUGUGAUGGUGCACGCCUUUAAUCCCAGCACUUGGGAGGCAGAGGCAGGCAGAUUUCUGAGUUCGAAGCCAGCCUGGUCUUCAGAGUGAGUUCCAGGACAGCCAGGGCUACACAGAGAAACCCUGUCUCCAAAAACAAAAACAAACAAAAAAAGAAUGUACAUUGGAGAGGCGAGAGAGAUGACUCAGUGGUUUAAGAACACUGGCUCUUUCAGAGGUCCUUUGUUCCGUUCCCACCAACCACAUGAUGACUAAUAACAUUUAUAAGGGGAUCUGGUUGGUGUCCUUUUCUGGCAUGCAGACAUACAUGAUUCCACAACACUGUAUACAAAA